UCCCUACACGGCGCUCUUCCCAUCUCUCCUAUUCCAUCUCCCUACUCCAAAAAUCCAUUUAAUAUAUUGUCCUCGGAUAGAGGACGUAUCAGAUAUUAAACUGAUAAGAACAGAUACUACACUUGAUCUUAGCCAAAAGGCCGAGAAGCGAUGCUGCCGUCUCCGUCCCCGCCGUCACCGUCCCACCCUCAUCCACAUUCAAGUCGCGGUGAGAGCCCCAGCCUCGCUCCUUGCCUCAUUCCCUUUGUCUCGUCCACACCACUAUUCACGCCAUCACACACUCGGGCUGAUUUAUUUUUCUCCACGUUUGGCAGAAGAAAUCUUACACCCCUGCUUGCUCCGGCGUUCCCAGCCUUUUAU